GAAAUGCGAUAAGUAGUGUGAAUUGCAGAAUUCAGUUAAUCAUCGAAUCUUUGAACGCACAUUGCGCCCCUUGGUAUUCCAUGGGGCAUGCCUGUUCGAGCGUCAUUUGUACCCUCAAGCUCUGCUUGGUGUUGGGUGUUUGUCCCCGUCUCCGCGCGUGGACUCGCCCCAAAGUGAUUGGCAGCCGGCGUACUGGUCCCGGAGCGCAGCACAUGUCGCGCAAACGAGUGCCUUGGUACGGCGGCGUCCAUAAGCCCCUCUCUCACGCUCUUGACCUCGGAUCAGGUAGGGAUACCCGCUGAACUUAAGC
rnacentral:misc_RNA from 1 species